rnacentral:rRNA from 1 species
UACGGGAGGCAGCAGUGGGGAAUUUUGGACAAUGGACGAAAGUCUGAUCCGCCCAUUCCGCGUGCAGGACGAAGGCCUUCGGGUUGUAAACUGCUUUUGUACGGAACGAAAAAGCCUUGGCUAAUACCCAGGGUCCAUGACGGUACCGUAAGAAUAAGCACCGGCUAACUACGUGCCAGCAGCCGCGGUAAUACGUAGGGUGCGAGCGUUAAUCGGAAUUACUGGGCGUAAAGCGUGCGCAGGCGGUUUUGUAAGACAGAGGUGAAAUCCCCGGGCUCAACCUGGGAACUGCCUUUGUGACUGCAAGGCUAGAGUGCGGCAGAGGGGGAUGGAAUUCCGCGUGUAGCAGUGAAAUGCGUAGAUAUGCGGAGGAACACCGAUGGCGAAGGCAAUCCCCUGGGCCUGCACUGACGCUCAUGCACGAAAGCGUGGGGAGCAAACAGGAUUAGAUACCCUGGUAGUCCACGCCCUAAACGAUGUC